GAUGAAGAACGCAGCGAAAUGCGAUAAGUAAUGUGAAUUGCAGAAUUCAGUGAAUCAUCGAAUCUUUGAACGCACAUUGCGCCCGCCAGUAUUCUGGCGGGCAUGCCUGUCUGAGCGUCAUUUCAACCCUCAUGCCCCUAGGGCGUGGUGUUGGGGAUCGGCCAAAGCCCGCGAGGGACGGCCGGCCCCUAAAUCUAGUGGCGGACCCGUCGUGGCCUCCUCUGCGAAGUAGUGAUAUUCCGCAUCGGAGAGCGACGAGCCCCUGCCGUUAAACCCCCAACUUUCCAAGGUUGACCUCAGAUCAGGUAGGAAUACCCGCUGAACUUAAGCAUAUCAAUACGGAGGA
rnacentral:misc_RNA from 1 species